AGCAGUCGCCACGGUAAAACGGAGGGGGCUAGCGUUGUUCGGAAUCACUGGGCGUAAAGCGCACGUAGGCGGCUUGGUAAGUUAGAGGUGAAAGCCUGGAGCUCAACUCCAGAAUUGCCUUUAAGACUGCCGAGCUAGCAGGUGAGAGAGGUAAGUGGAAUUCCGAGUGUAGAGGUGAAAUUCGUAGAUAUUCGGAAGAACACCAGUGGCGAAGGCGGCCCGCUGGACAGACAUUGACGCUGAGGUGCGAAAGCGUGGGGAGCAAAAGGAUUAGAUACCCCAGUAGUCCCUGUCUCUUAUACA
rnacentral:rRNA from 1 species